AAAAAAAAAAAAAGAAAAAGAAACAUUUUCAUUUUCUCUCCAAACGUUUAAGCGCAACUCUUGGACAUUUUCAUUGCUAAACCUAUGCCAGCGCCAGCUUCUCUUGUUCCCUGUACUACAACAUCUCCCCAAAGCCACACACCACUCUCACGUACACUCACCCACCGGCGCCCCUCUUCACCGUCGUUGUCUCUGCUCUGCUCUCGCAUAACAUCCCGCUGGAGGAUGAGAUAUUCGAAGGCUGGUAUGGUGCUUCUGUGCUGCUGUCUUGCUACGGCUGUUGCUGCUGCUACUACUAUGCUGCUACUCUGCUGUCUUGCUACGGCUGCUGUGCUGCUACGUCUGCUACGGCUGCUGCUACUCUGCUGCUACUCUGUUGUCAUGCUACGGCUGUGCUGCUACGGCUGCUGCUGUUGCUGAUACUCUGUUGCUACUCUGCUGCUGGCAUAUCUGUUUUAUCCUUCAUUCUUAUCUACCUUUCUCUGAGUGUAUAUGCUUGACUUAUUAUUGUGUCUUCUAUUUCAGCAUGAUCUUACACCAAUUGAAAUUGCGGCUAGGGAAGAUAAUCUUGCAAUUGUAGACACCCUCUUUGACUUUACUGCUCCUAUUCCUCAUAUUUCGACCUGGGACGACUUUCAUGGAAUAUACGACUAUAUCAACUCUCAGGAAGCAAAAGAUCAGCGGGAACUCCAAGCUGAAAUAAAAUUUUUAGAAGCAAAAGAAAAUGGAGCACAAGCCACCAGAAUAAAUGAUUAUAUGACUGCAGUUUACUGGUAUACAGAGGUUUGGUUCAGGACAAGCAAUUUGUGAAAUUACUUGUACUGAACCGUCCCAAGCAAUUGAAUGCACUCUCCCGCUAUAUGAUCUAUAUAAUACCAUGGUUGAGAAGGAGGGUACAGAUGGUGAAGCAGAGGCUCUGAAGGCCUGUAAGAUCUGGAAAAGGUUUUCACAACUCCAAGGGAGGGGCCCUUCACCAAAGAGGAGUUGGAUGAAGUUCGAGACAAGUGGGCUACUUACUUCAACGAUUGUGAAUUACCCUCAGUGUAAUAAUUAGAGCAGGCUUGUAGUUAUUCGUGACUCUUACAUUAUUUUGUUAUUUAUCGAUUUAAUUAAUUACAUUUGAAUUAAUUCGGAAAUAUUAUUGGAAAUUUGAAAUUUAUAUCAUUUUUGAGGAAUGUCAAGAUGAUGUUUGGUGAAA